rnacentral:tRNA from 1 species
ACCUGGUUGGCUCAGUUGGUUGAGCAUCUGACUCUUGAUUUUGGCUCAGGUCAUUACCCCACAGUUUGUGAGUUCGAGCCCCGCACCAGGCU